rnacentral:lncRNA from 1 species
AUUGAAUCAAGAGAAGAAAAGGAAGAAAUGGAUCACUAGUCUUCCAAUCGGUCUUGCCGAUCGGUUGCAUAACCGAUCGGGUCAGCUAAGGUUUUGCCGCACGGUUGUGUCAAUCGGUUGCACAACUGAUCGAAGCCUCGUUACACUAUCGAUCGGUUAUGCCGAUCGGUUGCACAACCGAUUGAAGGUCCUCGCCCGUACGGCCAACUUUUGGUCCGUCCGUACCAUUGAAGUUUUGUCUCGACCCACAACAUUUUCUCUCGGCCAUUUAGCCUUGGAUCCUCUCCAAGAUGCUUCUAGAAGCCUCCGGAUCCUUCCCCAGCCUUCCUAAGCUUAUCCAAAGCUUCACCAAGGUUCUAGAAGACUCUAGACCCUUCCAAGAGAGCCGUUGCUCGUUCGAAGGAAGAAGAAGACAAGAAACGCUUUAUGACCACCUUUAUGACGCGUUUUCUAGCUCAUGACCGUUGUACAUAGUGAAUAUCCUAAGGGAUAUUCCUUUUGCUUUGUCCUUAAAAAGGAAUCUUUGUAUUUACCAAUUUUAGUAAGAAAGAGAAAUAAUCUUUCCCAUCUCUCAAAUCUCUUCACUCUCUAUUUCGUUUACACUUUUCCGAUCAAGUUCUCAUCUUUUCCGAUUAUCUUCUUGUCCCAUCGAAACCUAAAGCUCCAUAAUCUAACAUGGUAUCAGAGCCAUAAGCUCCAUAUCCUUCAUUCAACCCACCUCAUUUACUUCCGCACCAAAGCUCUCUCUUUUCUUUGAUUGUGUUCGAUGAGUUCGCUUUAUGAUGAGAUGAGUUCUCUACACUCAAAAAUCAUUCCGGGUAUCCUCAAGGGAGGAAACUACUUGCUGUGGUCACGAACCACAAGAUCUGCCUUGUGUAGUCGGGGACUUUGGAACCAUAUCGUGAACGAAGAGGCGCCAAAGGAGACGACCACAAUAGAUGGACAAGAAAUCGUUCUUGUUGAUGAGGGGAAAUGGUUCCAAGAAGAUCAAUCGGUCUUGGUCCUCCUCCGAAACUCGCUUGAGUCCUCAAUACUCGAAGCUUACUCCUAUUGUGAAACUCCUAAAGAGCUUUGGGAUACUCUCUUUAAUGUGUUUGGGAAUCUCUCCAACUUGAGCCGGGUGUUCGAAGUGAAGAAGGCCAUCAACGAUCUCUCUCAAGGAGACAUGGAGUUCACUCAACAUUUUGGCAAGUUUAGGUCUCUUUGGGCGGAGCUCGAGAUGCUAAGGCCUAACACCAUUGAUCCGGCGAUCCUCAACGAAAGGCGUGAACAAGACAAGGUCUUUGGUCUCCUUCUCACCUUGAACUCCACCUACAAUGAUCUCAUCAAGCACUUACUCCGAGCCGAGAAGCUACCUAACCUAGAAGAAGUGUGCUCUCAAAUCCAAAAGGAGCAAGGAUCUCUUGGUCUCUUCGGAAACAAAGGAGAGCUUGCUACAGCCAACAAAGGAGAACUCACCACCGCCAACAAGGGAAGCUACAAGUCCGAGAACAAGAGAGGCCUAACUUGUGACCAUUGCAAAAAGACGGGUCAUACCAAGGAGAAGUGUUGGAUUCUUCACCCCCAUCUCCGACCAAGUAAAUGGAAGGAUCCUAAAGCUCAUCAAGCGAACUGGAGCCAAGAGACUCAAGACAUCUCCGGACCCGGACCCUCAACUCAAGCUAAUGGUGUUGGAGCGGCAAUGAUGGCGUCUUCAGAGUAUGUGAAGAAAUCUGACCUCGGUGCUCUUAUUAAGGCUCUUAAGGAGUCAUCCGGUAAAUCCUAUCAUGCUAUUGCUCAUACUCUAAAACCUCUUAUUGUUGAUUCGGGAGCCUCUCAUCACAUGAUUAGUGAUUCUAGGCUAAUGAACAAUAUUGAACCGGCUUUAGGAAACGUGGUAAUUGCUAAUGGGGAUAAAAUUCCGGUUAAAGGAAUAGGUGAUUUAGAGCUAUUUGAUAAGAAGUCUAAAGCCUUUUACAUGCCAAAUUUUACUUCUAACUUGCUUUCCGUUAAAAGAGCAACGACCGAUUUAAAUUGUUAUGCGAUAUUUGGACCUAAUGAUGUUUACUUUCAGGAUAUUGAAUCAAGUAGGGUGCUUGGUCAAGAAGUUACAAAGGAUGGUCUUUAUGUUCUAGAAGACACAAAGCUAUCCGAACCUUUAUCUUCUCAUUUUAGUUCAAGUAUUGUUGUUGCGAAUAGUGCUAUUUGGCAUGCUAGACUAGGUCAUCCCCAUCCUCGGGCUUUAAGUUUAAUGCUACCAAAAGUUUCAUUUCAAAGUCUUGAUUGUGAAGCUUGUAUCCUUGGUAAACAUUGCAAAGCUAUUUUUCCUAAGUCUUCUACUAUUUAUGAAAGUUGCUUUGAUUUAAUUCAUUCGGAUGUGUGGACUUCACCUUGUUUAUCAAGAGAAAACCAAAAAUAUUUUGUCACAUUUAUUGAUGAAAAAUCAAAGUAUACUUGGCUUACUCUCCUUCCUUCAAAAGAUCGUGUUCUUGAAGCUUUUAAAAACUUUCAUACUUAUGUGACUAACCAAUACAAUGCCAAGAUUAAGAUUUUUAGAUCCGACAAUGGUGGGGAGUAUACAAGUCAAGCAUUCAAGGAGCACCUAGCAUCACACGGAAUCAUCCACCAAACAAGUUGCCCUUACACUCCUCAACAAAAUGGUGUAUCCGAACGCAAGAAUCGACACCUAAUGGAGAUUGCAAGGUCCAUAAUGUUUCACACCAAUGUUCCAAAGAGAUUUUGGAGUGAUGCCGUGAUGACCGCGUGUUACUUGAUCAAUAGAACACCAACAAAGAUUCUACAAGACAAGUCUCCAUUUGAGGUACUCACUAAGACUAAGCCUUCUCUUGAUCACUUACGUGUGUUUGGUUGUGUUUGCUAUGUCUUAGUUCCCGGAGAUCAAAGGAACAAGCUCCAAGCCAAAAGCACUAAGGGAAUGUUCAUCGGGUAUUCAACAACUCAAAAGGGUUACAAGUGUUAUGUACCAGAGUCAAGGAAAGUAUUGGUGUCAAGAGAUGUGAAGUUUGUGGAAGACAAGGGAUUCUAUGACAAGAAGGAUUGGGAAAGUCUUAAGGAUCUGUCUAGCUCACCAUCGGAUAGAGCUACUAACCUUCGGAUUAUUCUUGAGAAGCUUGGAAUUGAGAACUACCAACCUUCACAAACUCAAGCUUCACACCCGCCACAAGGACAAGAGACUCAAGAACAAGAAGAAGAAAGUCUUGAGGAAGAAGUCCAAGACACUCAAAAUGAAGAGAAUGAUCUCAACACUCAAGAAGAAGAUCAUAUACCCGAUGGUGAUGGCUCCAACGAAUUGAAUCAAGAGGAAGAAGACACUACUCAAGAAGUGACUCAAGAAGUGAUACCUUUAAGAAGAAGUGAAAGAUUGAAAGACAAGAGAGUCUACUACAAUGCCAAUGCGGUAGCUCAUCCAAUUCAAGCCGUAUGCACUCUUGCUCACCUACCCGAAGAACAUCAAGUCUACCUUAGCAAAGUUGAUCAACAUUGGAUUCCCACAACAUAUGAAGAAGCCAUGCAACAUCAAGUGUGGAGAGACGCUAUAGAAGCCGAAAGACAAGCCAUGAUAAACAACCACACAUGGGAUGAAAAGGAUCUACCUAGAGGAAGGAAAGCCGUGACCUCUAAAUGGGUAUUCACCAUCAAGUAUAAGAGUGACGGAGAAAUUGACAGGUACAAGGCUAGACUUGUAGCAAGAGGCUUUACCCAAAAAUAUGGAGAAGACUACCUUGAUACUUUCGCCCCGGUGGCCAAACUUCACACGGUUCGAGUGGUUCUUUCAUUGGCUACUAACUUGGAAUGGGAUCUUUGGCAAAUGGAUGUCAAGAAUGCAUUCCUUCAAGGAGAAUUAGAGGAAGAAGUGUAUAUGAGACCACCACCGGGCCUAGAAGAUAAAGAAGCACCCGGGAAAGUUCUUAAGCUCAACAAAGCAAUCUAUGGCCUUAAGCAAUCUCCGAGAGCUUGGUAUCACAAGCUUAGCACCACACUUCUAGGAAGAGGAUUCAAGAGAUCCGAAGCUGACCAUACACUCUUCACUCUCCCUAGCCAAGAAGGUAUAGUAGUCAUUCUCGUUUAUGUAGAUGAUAUUAUCAUCUCCGGGAAUGACAAGGUUGGUAUUCAAGAUACUAAAGAUUUCCUUAAAAGUGUCUUUGAUAUUAAAGAUCUUGGAGAACUAAAAUACUUUCUUGGGAUAGAAGUAUGUAGAUCAAAGGAGGGUCUCUUCUUAUCUCAACGAAAGUAUACUCUUGAUCUUCUUGAUGAAGUAGGUAAGCUUGGCGCUAAACCAGCAAAGACUCCCUUGGAAGAUGACUACAAAGCUAGACGAAAGGGGGAGCAUGAUAACAAGCCUUUCGAAGAUCCUACCAAGUAUCGGAGGCUAGUAGGUAAGCUCAUCUAUUUAACCAUCACUAGGCCUGAUAUUUGCUUUGCCGUGAAUGUAGUGAGCCAACAAAUGCAAGCUCCAACUCAACACCAUUGGAAUAUGGUGAACCGCAUCCUCAAGUAUCUCAAAGGCGCUCCGGGUCAAGGCAUUUGGAUGGGAUGCAAUAGGAACACGGAGCUUGUUGGGUAUUGUGAUGCUGAUUACGCCGGAGACAAGAAUGAUAGAAGAUCAACAACCGGCUAUUGUACUUUCAUUGGUGGAAAUCUAGUGACUUGGAGAAGCAAGAAGCAAAAGGUGGUGUCUCUUUCAAGUGCCGAAGCUGAGUACCGGGCCAUGAGAAAGCUUACUACGGAGCUAAUGUGGCGAAAGGCUCUCCUCAAAGACUUUGGUAUAGACACGCCCCAACCAAUCACCAUGCAUUGUGACAACCAAGCCGCCAUUCACAUAGCAACCAACUCGGUGUUUCAUGAGAGAACGAAGCACAUUGAAGUCGAUUGCCACAAAGCACGAGAGCAAAUCCAACUUGGAGUGAUCUUGCCACAUUAUACCGAAAGUGAAGAACAAUUGGCUGACAUCUUCACCAAAGGAGCUAGCACCAAGGUGUGUGAAUACAUUCACCAAAAGUUAGGUCUUGUUGACUUAACUCAGCCACAAUCCCCUUAGCCAAAUAUCCCAUACUCUUUUUCCCUAAGUGUGGUUUUAUCCCAUGAGGUUUUCUACACUUAGGUUUUUAAUGAGGUGGUUGAAUUUGGAUCCAAGUCUAACCUCCAUCUUUCUCCGGUUAGACUUGAGGGGGAGUAUUGAAUCAAGAGAAGAAAAGGAAGAAAUGGAUCACUAGUCUUCCAAUCGGUCUUGCCGAUCGGUUGCAUAAACGAUCGGGUCAGCUAAGGUUUUGCCGCACGGUUGUGUCAAUCGGUUGCACAACUGAUCGAAGCCUCGUUACACUAUCGAUCGGUUAUGCCGAUCGGUUGCACAACCGAUUGAAGGUCCUCGCCCGUACGGCCAACUUUUGGUCCGUCCGUACCAUUGAAGUUUUGUCUCGACCCACAACAUUUUCUCUCGGCCAUUUAGCCUUGGAUCCUCUCCAAGAUGCUUCUAGAAGCCUCCGGAUCCUUCCCCAGCCUUCCUAAGCUUAUCCAAAGCUUCACCAAGGUUCUAGAAGACUCUAGACCCUUCCAAGAGAGCCGUUGCUCGUUCAAAGGAAGAAGAAGACAAGAAACGCUUUAUGACCACCUUUAUGACGCGUUUUCUAGCUCAUGACCGUUGUACAUAGUGAAUAUCCUAAGGGAUAUUCCUUUUGCUUUGUCCUUAAAAAGGAACCUUUGUAUUUACCAAUUUUAGUAAGAAAGAGAAAUAAUCUUUCCCAUCUCUCAAAUCUCUUUACUCUCUCUUUCGUUUACACUUUUCCGAUCAAGUUCUCAUCUUUUCCGAUUAUCUUCUUGUCCCAUCGAAACCUAAAGCUCCAUAAUC